rnacentral:rRNA from 1 species
GACGAACGCUGGCGGCGUGCUUAACACAUGCAAGUCGAACGGAAAGGCCCUGCUUUUGUGGGUUGCUCGAGUGGCGAACGGGUGAUUAACACGUGAUUAACCUGCCCUUGACUUUGGGUUAACUUCAGGAAACUGGGGCUAUUACCGGUUAGGAGCUCCUGCUGCAUGGUGGGGGUUGGAAAGUUUCGGCGGUUGGGGAUGGACUCGCGGCUUAUCAGCUUGUUGGUGGGGUAGUGGCUUACCAAGGCUUUGACGGGUAGCCGGCCUGAGAGGGUGACCGGCCACAUUGGGACUGAGAUACGGCCCAGACUCCUACGGGAGGCAGCAGUGGGGAAUAUUGCACAAUGGGCGGAAGCCUGAUGCAGCAACGCCGCGUGCGGGAUGACGGCCUUCGGGUUGUAAACCGCUUUCGCCUGUGACGAAGCGUGAGUGACGGUAAUGGGUAAAGAAGCACCGGCUAACUACGUG